GGACAACCUACCCUUAGGACGGGGAUAAACCCGGGAAACUGGGUAUAAUACCCGAUAGUUCUCGAAUGCUGGAAUGCAUCGAGUACUAAAGCUCCGGCGCAUAAGGAUGGGUCUGCGGCCUAUCAGGUAGUAGUGGGUGUAGCGUACCUACUAGCCUACGACGGGUACGGGUUGUGAGAGCAAGAGCCCGGAGAUGGAUUCUGAGACACGAAUCCAGGCCCUACGGGGUGCAGCAGGCGCGAAAACUUUACAAUGCUGGAAACAGCGAUAAGGGGACCUCGAGUGCCAGGUUACAAAUCUGGCUGUCGUGAUGCCUAAAAAGCAUUGCAUAGCAAGGGCCGGGCAAGACCGGUGCCAGCCGCCGCGGUAACACCGGCGGCUCGAGUGGUAACCGUUAUUAUUGGGUCUAAAGGGUCUGUAGCCGGCCGGGUAAGUCUCUUGGGAAAUCUGGCAGCUUAACUGUCAGGCUUUCAGGAGAUACUGCCUGGCUCGAGGCCGGGAGAGGUGAGAGGUACUUCAGGGGUAGGGGUGAAAUCUUGUAAUCCUUGAAGGACCACCAGUGGCGAAGGCGUCUCACCAGAACGGACCUGACGGCAAGGGACGAAAGCUAGGGGCACGAACCGGAUUAGAUACCCGGGUAGUCCUAGCCGUAAACGAUACUCGCUAGGUGUCGGCCACGGUGCGACCGUUGUCGGUGCCGUAGGGAAGCCGUGAAGCGAGCCACCUGGGAAGUACGGCCGCAAGGCUGAAACUUAAAGGAAUUGGCGGGGGAGCACCACAACGGGUGGAGCUUGCGGUUUAAUUGGAUUCAACGCCGGAAAUCUUACCGGGACCGACAGCAAUAUGAAGGCCAGGCUGAAGACUUUGCCGGAUUAGCU
rnacentral:rRNA from 1 species